AAAUAAGUAAGCUAAUAUUAAGCUCUUAGGUUCAUACCCUAAACAUAGAUAAAACUAAUAAAUCUCUUAUUUA
rnacentral:tRNA from 1 species